UAGCCCGGAGAAAUCCGGAUUAACACCGCAUGACACUGCUUUCCGGCAUCGGGAGGUAGUCAAAUAUUCAUAGGAUAUGGAUGGGCUCGCGUGACAUUAGCUAGUUGGUGGGGUAACGGCCCACCAAGGCGACGAUGUCUAGGGGCUCUGAGAGGAGAAUCCCCCACACUGGUACUGAGACACGGACCAGACUCCUACGGGAGGCAGCAGUAAGGAAUAUUGGUCAAUGGGGGCAACCCUGAACCAGCCAUGCCGCGUGCAGGACGACUGCCCUAUGGGUUGUAAACUGCUUUUGUUAGGGAAUAAACCCCGCUACGUGUAGCGGGCUGAAUGUACCUAAAGAAUAAGGAUCGGCUAACUCCGUGCCAGCAGCCGCGGUAAUACGGAGGAUCCGAGCGUUAUCCGGAUUUAUUGGGUUUAAAGGGUGCGUAGGCGGCACUUUAAGUCAGGGGUGAAAGACGGCAGCUCAACUGUCGCAGUGCCCUUGAUACUGAAGUGCUUGAAUGCGGUUGAAGACGGCGGAAUGAGACAAGUAGCGGUGAAAUGCAUAGAUAUGUCUCAGAACACCGAUUGCGAAGGCAGCUGUCUAAGCCGUUAUUGACGCUGAUGCACGAAAGCGUGGGGAUCGAACAGGAUUAGAUACCCUGGUAGUCCACGCCCUAAACGAUGAUGACUCGAUGUUUGCGAUAUACCGUAAGCGUCCAAGCGAAAGCGUUAAGUCAUCCACCUGGGGAGUACGCCCGCAAGGGUGAAACUCAAAGGAAUUGACGGGGGCCCGCA
rnacentral:rRNA from 1 species